CAGCAGCCGCGGUAAUACGUAGGUGGCAAGCGUUGUCCGGAAUUAUUGGGCGUAAAGGGCUCGCAGGCGGUUUCUUAAGUCUGAUGUGAAAGCCCCCGGCUCAGCCGGGGAGGGUCAUUGGAAACUGGGAAACUUGAGUGCAGAAGAGGAGAGUGGAAUUCCACGUGUAGCGGUGAAAUGCGAAGAGAUGUGGAGGAACACCAGUGGCGAAGGCGACUCUCUGGUCUGUAACUGACGCUGAGGAGCGAAAGCGUGGGGAGCGAACAGGAUUAGAUACCCCUGUAGUCCCUGUCUCUUAUAA
rnacentral:rRNA from 1 species